GUGUGUGUUUCCUGCGAGUGGUGGGCUUCCUUAUGAGGUUCAGUAUUAUUAUGACACGUAUUUUCCCCAGCCCAGUCACAGAUAGUGCUAAGAGGACAGGCUGUUCCAUGAGAAGAUCUUGCCCAUGACAGACUUGUGCAGAAUGAACAGAGAACAUUCAUUACGGUAAUGAAUAUCCCUUACAUGGAACAUAAAGACUUUCAGAAGUUCCACACUGCUUUAACUGCAGAGAGCGUCAAAGAAAAGAGUGUCCACAAUGGAAGAGAAAGAAGAAGAGGUGAACUUAGGGGUGACCAAUGAAAAUUCCAUCUAAGUGACUUGGGGCAACACUAUUAUGUAUAGUGUUAAUAUACAUUAACACUCAAGGAAGAAUAAAUCUGAUUAUAAUAAUGCCUGCCAUUUAUGGAGAAUCUAUCAACUGAGUGUCUUGGAAUGCUUUGUGAAAUUUAAAUCACUUCCCACAUCACCCCUCAAAGUUCUUUAUCUUCCAGGGCCAGAACUCCAGUGCUUUCUGUGAAGAGUUUCACUUUGACCACAGGCCGAGGAUGGGUGGUGGUGAAAUCUCCUUGAG